rnacentral:rRNA from 1 species
AUGUCUUCCUCCUCGGGCGUAUCUCACCCUAGCCUCAGUGGGCAGGUGAUCGAGAAACUCUCCCACACGAAUUACGUGCUAUGGCGCACACAGAUCACACCACAACUUCAUGGCGCCGGUGUCUUCCAAUAUGUUGAUGGCACCUCGCCGGAGCCGACCAAGCUUCAAGCCGCCAAGGACAAGGACGCCAAGGACACUUUUGUGCCCAACCCUCUCCACCCCAUCUGGGUACGGGAGGACCAGCAGGUGCUUGGCUUCCUGCUGAGCAACCUCUCCAAAGAGGUGCUUGUCACGGUGACCACGGUC